GCUCUGUGUGAUCAGCACUGAGACAGGUAGCUUCCAAUGUGAUCAGCAGUGAGAGAGGUAGGAACAGUUCUGUGUGAUCCGCAGUGAGACAGGUAGCUUCACAGUGUGAUCAGCAGUGAGUCAGGUAGGUACAGCUGUGUGUGAUCAACAGUGAGACAGGUAGGUACAGCUGUGUGUGAUCAAUGGUGAGACAGGUAGGUACAGCUAUGUGUGAUCAGCAGUGAGACAGUGUGAUCAACAGUGAGGCAGGUCUGUACAGCUCUGUGUGAUCAACAGUGAGACAGGUAGGUACAGCUGUGUGUGAUCAACAGUGAGACAGGUAGGUACAGCUGUGUGUGAUCAACAGUGAGACAGGUAGGUACAGCUGUGUGUGAUCAACAGUGAGACAGGUAGGUACAGCUGUGUGUGAUCAACAGUGAGACAGGUAGGUACAGCUGUGUGUGAUCAACAGUGAGACAGGUAGGUACAGCUGUGUGUGAUCAACGUUGAGACAGGUAGGUACAGCUCUGUGUGAUCAACAGUAAGACAGGUAGGUACAGCUCUGUGUGAUCAACAGUGAGACAGGUAGAUACAGCUCUGUUUGAUCAGCAGUGAGACAUGUAGGUACAGCUAUGUGUGAUCAGCAGUGAGACAGAUUGGUACAGCCAUGUAUGAUCAACAGUGAGACAGGUAGGUACAGCUCUGACCUCAGUAUACCCUGUGUGAUAAUCCGUCAAAUAGGCAGCUAAACUCACAUAAUUAUAUUUAAAUAACCGUAUUGAGUGUCCAAAAUCCGGUGUUACAAAAACAAUGUUUAAAAUGCUUAUUACCAUAUACUAUUUUGUGGAACUUUUUAUGAAACAGUGUCUAAUUGAUGAUGACCAGUGAGUGUCAGAGAGUUAUUGCCCCUUGAAUGCUCGUUUGUUUCCACACAAGACUUUGACCAUUUGGAUCUCAAUUUGAUAAAACUGUUUAUGCAACAUCCAUAUAUGGUUGACAAAAGCCUAUUUUUAUGUCGCUAAGAUCCAGUUAUUUUUCAGGUAUUUAUUGAUUUUUGAUUAAACAUUUUAAUGACAUUUAAAUUUAUAUGCUCUAUUCUUAUAUGUUCGCAUGAUGUCAGUUUAUUCAAAAAAUAAUAUGUGACCGCAUGAGAUCUUGGUUGCUUAUGAUCCGUAUUUGAAAAAUUUCAACCAGCAUUGUCUGGACAUGUAUAAAUCAACAGAUCAAUCAGCUUGGGUGUCCGGUCAAUAUUGUCGCGCUGAUUUAAAAGAAAAAAGGCUAAAGUUGUAGUUCCUGUUCUUUUAAUAAACCAUUCAUUGACACUGGACAAAGGACUUCCUUGUCUGUUAUUAAUGUUGCUCAUCAUACCGAAUUUUAUCUUUAGAGUAAUGUUUACUCUUGGUUUUCAGUAUGUUAAACAUAAAAAAAUCUUGGAAAUUCCUUUUUUUUUGUGGAACAAUUUAAGAUUUUCCUGAAAGCAAUUUGAUCAUUUAAGUUUUCCAGGAAUAUCAACAGUUUUCUGAGGUCCUAUAGAAGGUCCUUUUUAGAAAAGAAUCUAUUCAACUGUACCUUAUGAAUUUUUUAAGGUAGCCCUUAAAGUGAAAGAGAGAACAACAGCAGGUUUUGAAAAUUAAUUAAGGAUUUACCUUCCUAUACUGUUACAUUCAGUUUCAUUUCCUUAGUACUACAGACUGUACAUAGUACUGAGAUACUUGAACUGAAUUGUUCUUGGUAUCUGUCAAUGAUAAAGUUUGUGUUCCAUCACCUCAACUGUAAAUGUAUUGUCCAUAAAAACAUUCUUAAAGACUAAUUUAAUCCAGACAUAGUGGUUUUCACAACUUAUUCCUUCUUUUGUGAUAAAAAAGACAUUAAUGUUUGGUUUAUCUAAUAAAUUUAGUGCGCACCUUAUUUCACUCACUUAAUUGUCUGUGAUUUUGGUCUUUGGCCAUUUUUAAUUAAAAAUACUUCCUUACGGUACUUUAAAAGUCUGUACAUUCAUAAUUUAUAAUAUAAUUUUCUAUGAAUUUUCAUCAGCUGACAUGUCCAUAUUGUUCUUGGAACAUGAAGCCAUUUACAUUCAAUCUUUGGAGGAUGAAGAUUUUUAGUUUUGUAUAAAAUUUUCUUGAAUGAAGAUGAUAAGAUGGAAGGGUAAUGGUAUAAUGUGAGCUCUGCAGCACAUUUUGCAUGAGCCUUGUCAUGCAAAAAUGGGUGUUACACCUUCUCCGGCCAGCGUAUCUCCAGACCCUGUAUUCUAAUGAGCUUUAUAGCAGAUAGCUAAGCUCCUGACCAGACUGCCUGCAUUCAAUGGCUGGUAUGGAGCUCUGCUGGUAGCAAAUGAGUCGCGUUCUGAGAAAACUGGGCAUAAUGCAUGUGCGUAAACUGUCGUCCCAGAUUAGCCUGUGCAGUCUGCACAGGCUAAUCAGGGACGACACUUUCAGCUUUUAUGAGAUUUUUUGUUAUUGAAGUCUCUUCUUAGCAAAAAAUCCAAUUAAGGCAGAAAGAGUCGUCCCUGAUUAGCCUGUGCGGACUCCACAGGCUAAUCUGGUACGACACUACGCACAUGCAUUAUGACCAGUUUUCUCAGAACACGACUCAUAUGGUAGAAGACCAAUAUUUUGUCUGAAACAGUCCAUAUAAUACAAUGUACUGACAAUCAUUGUUAAAGCCAAACACCUUGCAUCUGACUUUGAAAUGAAAUACAUGUAAAUAAAUACAUAUAGAUGCAAUUUUAAAGUGUGCAAAAUUGUCAUUAAAUCUAGUUAGCAAGUAAUUUAUUAUUUUUCAAAUGGUACCGCUUUUAAAACCGAAAGUAGAAUUUCUAGACGUAUACGUCCAUUCAUUUCGACUAACGCAAUUAUUUUAAGUUUUAAAGCGCAAAAAAUACGUAUUUCUACCUUGUAACCACAAGGUAUAUUCUAAUUGGCAUAGAUAAAAUUAAAUCUAUAGCCUAGUUAGGAAGUAAUUUAUUAUUUUUAAACGGUACCACUUUUAAAACCAAAAGAAUGAUUUCUAGACGUAAACGUCCAUUCAUUUCGACAAACGCGAUUCUUUCUAAGUUUUAAAGCGCAAAAAAGACGAAUGUCUACCUUGUAACCACCAGAUAUAUUCUAAUUGGCAUAGAUAAAAUUAAAUCUAUAGCCUAGUUCGCAAGUAAUUUAUUAUUUUUCAAACGAUACUGCUUUUAAAACCGAAAGUAGGAUUUCUAGAUGAUACCUCCAUUUUGACAAACAAGAUUAUUAUUUAAGUUUUAAAGUGCAAAAAAGACGGAUUUAUACCUUGUAACCACCAGAUAUAUUCUUAUUGGCAUAGAUGAAAUAUGUUUCUUAUUUAUACUUAAAUUUACUAUGCCAAAUAAGGUUUGUGGCUUUAAGCUUUUUAAAUAAAAUAUAAAUGCUUGCUCUCUGUUCUUUCAUCAAAAGUUUGUAUUUUUAAAAGAUUUAAACUAAGGAAAAAUUGGAUCAUAUUUUAAAAAUAUAAGUUUCUAAAAUGGCUCUUCUGUUAAUUAAAAAAAAAACAGAGACAAAAUAUUCUGAUUGAGAAUUUUUAAAUGUAGGAUAAGUCUAUAAAUUACUUUCAAGCUGUUAUGCAUUUUUUUUUAACCUUGUGUCUUUUUUUAACCAAGAAGUAAAUAUUGUUAUGCAAAAUAAAUAACAGAUUGUUUUAAAAAGCUUCGCAUAAGAGAUUUGUAUGUAACAGCUGACUAUAAAGCAAGGCAGACAUACAUAUAUUUCUGCUUAAUAAGUACCAUAAGGUGCUGGAUAUUUAAUUAGCCAUGCAUAACUUGUAUAAACUGUUGUGACUUCUAAUCUCUUAGGAUGGGGUUUUGACUAUAAGGUUCAUGUAGGAAGUAUGUUUUUAAUGAAUUGUCAGUGUAUUUGAUAAUUUCAGCCAUUUUUCUUUUGUUUUAGUGUGAAACAAAACAUUUUGUAAAAAAUAUUAACUGAUUUGAUUAAAGAUUUUAAGUGCAAGUGUAAAUUCUUGUUUAUAUUAUGUUGUGCUAUGGAUAAUCCAUGAUUCUGUUUUAAAAUUAUCAGAUUUAAUAAAUUUUUAAGAUCAUGUCAUUUACCCACAUGUAUUAAACUAUUUAAUGUCUGUGUUUUCAAUG